rnacentral:rRNA from 1 species
UACAGAGGGUGCUAGCGUUGUUCGGAAUUACUGGGCGUAAAGCGCGUGUAGGCUGCUUCGCAAGUCGGAUGUGAAAGCCCUGGGCUCAACCCAGGAAGUGCAUUCGAAAACUGCAGAGCUGGAGUCCUGGAGAGGAAGGCGGAAUUCUCGGUGUAGAGGUGAAAUUCGUAGAUAUCGAGAGGAACACCGGUGGCGAAGGCGGCCU